rnacentral:rRNA from 1 species
GCCAGACUCCUACGGGAGGCAGCAGUGGGGGAUAUUGCACAAUGGGGGAAACCCUGAUGCAGCGACGCCGCGUGGGUGAAGAAGCGCCUCGGCGCGUAAAGCCCUGUCAGCAGGGAAGAAAAUGACGGUACCUGAAGAAGAAGCCCCGGCUAACUACGUGCCAGCAGCCGCGGUAAUACGUAGGGGGCAAGCGUUAUCCGGAUUUACUGGGUGUAAAGGGCGUGCAGCCGGGCUGACAAGUCAGAUGUGAAAUCCCGCGGCUCAACCGCGGAACUGCAUUUGAAACUGUCAGUCUUGAGUACCGGAGAGGUCAUCGGAAUUCCUUGUGUAGCGGUGAAAUGCGUAGAUAUAAGGAAGAACACCAGUGGCGAAGGCGGCUUACUGGACUGUAACUGACGUUGAGGCUCGAAAGCGUGGGGAGCAAACAGGAUUAGAUACCCUUGUAC